GACGAACGCUGGCGGCGUGCUUAACACAUGCCAGUCGAACGGAAAGGCCCUGCUUGUGUGGGGUGCUCGAGUGGCGAACGGGUGAGUAACACGUGAGUAACCUGCCCUUGACGUUGGGAUAACUUCAGGAAACUGGGGCUAAUACCGGAUAGGAGCUCCUGCUGCAUGGUGGGGGUUGGAAAGUUUCGGCGGUUGGGGAUGGACUCGCGGCUUAUCAGCUUGUUGGUGGGGUAGUGGCUUACCAAGGCUUUGACGGGUAGCCGGCCUGAGAGGGUGACCGGCCACAUUGGGACUGAGAUACGGCCCAGACUCCUACGGGAGGCAGCAGUGGGGAAUAUUGCACAAUGGGCGGAAGCCUGAUGCAGCAACGCCGCGUGCGGGAUGACGGCCUUCGGGUUGUAAACCGCUUUCGCCUGUGACGAAGCGUGAGUGACGGUAAUGGGUAAAGAAGCACCGGCUAACUACGUG
rnacentral:rRNA from 1 species